rnacentral:lncRNA from 1 species
AAAGGUGGUGGCGCUCCGCUGCGUGGUUGGUUGCUGUGCAAGCGCGAUUUCUGGUUUCUGGUGGUGAAGGUGGCCUGACCUAGAGGUGCAGCUGCUGGUGGGCAGGUGUGCUGAUGUCAACAGACUAUGAGCUUUCAGAAUCUCUGGAGAGAGUACAAAGUUCUGAUGGUUAUGGUACCAUUAAUUGGGUUCAUACAUUUGGGGUGGCACAGAAUCAAAAGCAGCCCUGUCUUCCAAGUUCCUAAGGACGAUACCACUGAGCUGGAUAGUCUGGGACUUGCAAGUCCACCAAAGAGCCAAACCUAGGAGAAGUAGCCAUCUUGCAGUUUUCAGAAAGAAGCAACUUUGAAUCUGAACUUGAUAAUAAAAGAAGAAAUGAAAAACCCCAGUUGGAUUAGAAAGAACUGGCUUCUUGUGGCUGGGGUGACUUUCAUAGGCGUCCAUCUUGGAACAUACUUUAUACAGAGAGUUGCAAAAGAGUCUGUGAGGUCUGAGGCCAGAGGCAGACAAAAGAAUAUUGAAGAAUGAAGCAAAAUAAAGACUUUGGAUUAUUAAUGUCAUUAAAUUAAUCUAUGCUGGUUAUUGUCUGAAACCACUUGAUUUUGUAGCUGGUAAUGCUGCAUGUGCAGACUCAUACCUGGAGACCAGUCUUUAAUGUUCAAACACAUGACAGUGCAAUAAAAUGAAAGCCAUAUGAACAAACUAAAGCUGCCUUCACAAGUUACACCUGAAGCAGGAUGUCUCGGUUAGAAGCUAAGAAGCCAUCGUUGUGUAAAACUGAACCAUUGACAAGUGAGAAAGUCAGGUCCACACUUUCUGUCUUGAAAGGAGUCAUAGCCUCAUGCUAUGGCCCUUCAGGGAGGCUGAAGCAGCUACACAAUGGAUUGGGAGGUUGUGUGUACACAACCUCACAGUCCUCAGCCCUGCUUCGAAACCUUUCAGUCACCCAUCCCGUAUUAAAGAUCCUAACGUC